UACGGAGGGCGCGAGCGUUAAUCGGAAUUACUGGGCGUAAAGCGCACGCAGGCGGUUUGUUAAGCUAGAUAUGAAAGCCCCGGGCUCAACCUGGGAUGGUCAUUUAGAACUGGCAGACUAGAGUCUUGGAGAGGAGAGUGGAAUUCCAGGUGUAGCGGUGAAAUGCGUAGAUAUCUGGAGGAACAUCAGUGGCGAAGGCGACUCCCUGGCCAAAGACUGACGCUCAUGUGCGAAAGUGUGGGUAGCGAACAGG
rnacentral:rRNA from 1 species